AUUGAACGCUGGCGGCAGGCUUAACACAUGCAAGUCGAGCGGAGAUGAGGUGCUUGCACCUUAUCUUAGCGGCGGACGGGUGAGUAAUGCUUAGGAAUCUGCCUAUUAGUGGGGGACAACAUUCCGAAAGGAAUGCUAAUACCGCAUACGUCCUACGGGAGAAAGCAGGUGAUCUUCGGACCUUGCGCUAAUAGAUGAGCCGAGGUCGGAUUAGCUAGUUGGUGGGGUAAAGGCCUACCAAGGCGACGAGCUGUAGCGGGUCUGAGAGGGUGAUCCGCCACACUGGGACUGAGACACGGCCCAGACUCCUACGGGAGGCAGCAGUGGGGAAUAUUGGACAAUGGGGGGAACCCUGAUCCAGCCAUGCCGCGUGUGUGAAGAAGGCCUUAUGGUUGUAAAGCACUUUAAGGGAGGAGGAGGCUACUGAGACUAAUACUCUUGGAUAGUGGACGUUACUCGCAGAAUAAGCACCGGCUAACUCUGUGCCAGCCGCCGCCGUAAGAC
rnacentral:rRNA from 1 species